ACAUGCAGUCGAGCGAACAGAUAAGGAGCUUGCUCCUUUGACGUUAGCGGCGGACGGGUGAGUAACACGUGGAUCACCUCCUUUCUGAACUGGGAUAACUUCGGGAAACCGGAGCUAAUACCGGAUAAGAUUUUGAACCGCAUGGUUCAAUAGUGAAAGACGGCCUUGCUGUCACUUAUAGAUGGAUCCGCGCCGUAUUAGCUAGUUGGUAAGGUAACGGCUUACCAAGGCAACGAUACGUAGCCGACCUGAGAGGGUGAUCGGCCACACUGGAACUGAGACACGGUCCAGACUCCUACGGGAGGCAGCAGUAGGGAAUCUUCCGCAAUGGGCGAAAGCCUGACGGAGCAACGCCGCGUGAGUGAUGAAGGUCUUCGGAUCGUAAAACUCUGUUAUCAGGGAAGAACAAACGUGUAAGUAACUGUGCACGUCUUGACGGUACCUGAUCAGAAAGCCACGGCUAACUACGUGCCAGCAGCCGCGGUAAUACGUAGGUGGCAAGCGUUAUCCGGAAUUAUUGGGCGUAAAGCGCGCGUAGGCGGUUUUUUAAGUCUGAUGUGAAAGCCCACGGCUCAACCGUGGAGGGUCAUUGGAAACUGGAAAACUUGAGUGCAGAAGAGGAAAGUGGAAUUCCAUGUGUAGCGGUGAAAUGCGCAGAGAUAUGGAGGAACACCAGUGGCGAAGGCGACUUUCUGGUCUGUAACUGACGCUGAUGUGCGAAAGCGUGGGGAUCAAACAGGAUUAGAUACCCUGGUAGUCCACGCCGUAAACGAUGAGUGCUAAGUGUUAGGGGGUUUCCGCCCCUUAGUGCUGCAGCUAACGCAUUAAGCACUCCGCCUGGGGAGUACGACCGCAAGGUUGAAACUCAAAGGGAAUUGACGGGGGACCCGCACAAGCGGUGGGAGCAUGUGGGUUUAAUUCGAAAGCAACGCGAAAAAACCUUACCAAAAUCUUGGACAUCCUUUUGACCGCCUCUAGAAGAUAGAGUUUU
rnacentral:rRNA from 1 species